rnacentral:rRNA from 1 species
GCGUGAGUGAUGAAGGCCUUCGGGUCGUAAAGCUCUGUCAGAGGGGAAGAAACUCCCGUCGGUUAAUACCCGGCGGGCCUGACGGUACCCUCAAAGGAAGCACCGGCUAACUCCGUGCCAGCAGCCGCGGUAAUACGGAGGGUGCAAGCGUUGUUCGGAAUUAUUGGGCGUAAAGCGCGUGUAGGCGGCUCGUUAAGUCUGAUGUGAAAGCCCUGGGCUUAACCUGGGAAGUGCAUUGGAAACUGGCGAACUUGAGUAUGGGAGAGGAAAGUGGAAUUCCGAGUGUAGGGGUGAAAUCCGU